UGCGUAGGUGGUUAAUUAAGUCAAAUGUGAAAUCCCCGAGCUUAACUUGGGAAUUGCAUUCGAUACUGGUUAGCUAGAGUAUGGGAGAGGAUGGUAGAAUUCCACGUGUAGCAGUGAAAUGCGUAGAGAUGUGGAGGAAUACCGAUGGCGAAGGCAGCCCCCUGGGAUAACACUGACGUUCAUGCUCGAAAGCGUGGUAGCAAACA
rnacentral:rRNA from 1 species